CGCCUCUACAAGGACGAGCGCCGUGCAGAGAAGACGGAGUGAAAAUGAACGACAAGGGGGAAGUAACUUCUUAUUUAUAAAGCCCUUCAUUGUCAACUGUGGAGAGGCGGAGCCGACGAGCCGACAGCGGGACAGGGCAAAUGGUUGUCCUGACCAAGAUGGCGGCCAGGAGGCGGGGCAUGCAGCAGAGCGGAGAGGCGGGGCACGCCUGGAGAGACACUGCAGCCGUCAGCGUCAGGUGCGUACACAACACACCUGCGCUCAAUCAUUACAUCUUCUGCUGCAGCAUAAAAAGGGCGAGGGAGGCGCAAUCGUGGCAGAAGUAGGAGAGGAACAACCCGACAACAACGACCACGAGAGCGACGAGAUCGACCAAGAGAAAGAUGAGCCCCCGCAGCAGACGCAGCCCCCGGACACCGAAAGGUGUGCCGCGACGACCAGGAAGAGCCAGCAAGCCAGAAAUUGGGGCGACAGACUGGCAAGACAUAAUGUUUGUUGAAAGAAUAAACACGAGUCAAACCUG